AUUGAACGCUGGCGGCAUGCUUUACACAUGCAAGUCGGACGGAGUGGCGAACGGGUGAGUAACAUAUCGGAACGUACCGAGUAAUGGGGGAUAACUAAUCGAAAGAUUAGCUAAUAACGCAUACUAUUGGAGCGGCCGAUAUCGGAUUAGCUAGUGGGUGGGGUAACGGCUAACCAAGGGGACGAUCCGUAGCUGGUUUGAGAGGGCGACCAGCCACACUGGUACUGAGACACGGCCCAGACGCCUACGGGAGGCAGCAGUGGGGAAUUUUGGACAAUGGGGUAAACCCUGAUCCAGCCAUCCCGCGUGUGCGAUGAAGGCCUUCGGGUUGUAAAGCACUUUUGGCAGGAAAGCGGUACCUGCAGAAUAAGCACCGGCUAACUACGUGCCAGCCGCCGCGGUAAUAC
rnacentral:rRNA from 1 species